UAUAUAUAUAUAUAUAUAUAUAUAUAUAUAUAUAUAUAUAUUGAAUCCGGCUACUAUACUCUUAUGAGUACGAUUGCCUUCGUACUCAUAAGUUGUUUUCAAUGAUAGAGCUUCCGAAUGGAUGAUCCAUACCGUUAAACAUUAUCUAGAGUAUUUAAAAACUUCUAGAAAUCAAAUUUUAUAAUUUUUCGAUAUCAUUUACCUUAUGAUAAAAAACUCACAAAAUUGAUAAUUUUUAACAGCCGGUAUGAGAUAUUUGUCAGUUUAACGGUGAAAAAAAAUCAGAAUAGGUUGAAUUUUUUAUAAAAAUUUCUAUUCACUACCUAAAUAAAGAUCAAUAACUCCGAUCGUAAAUUGAAGGAUCCGAUCAUCCAUUUUUAGGAUGUCGUUCAAUUUUAACCAUUCAUUUUAUACCCGCUUGAUGGACUUUAUAAUGAUUUUGAAAAAUUACAAAAUUUAUUUUCUAAAAGUUUCAAAUAGUCUAGAUCAUGUUUAACGGUGUGGAUCGUCCAUUCGAAAACCCUAACAUCGAAAAUAACUUAUGAGUACGAAGGGCUCUAUACUCAUAAGAGUAUAGUAACCUUAUCUAUAUAUAUAUAGAAUUGAGCUAGAAUACUCUUAGAAGCACCAAUCCCUUAGUUCUUCUAAGUUUCUAGCGCUUAGAUCUACUCCGUGAUUAUUAAUAGCCUUUGGAUCAAAUAUUAUUCCACCUACCACCAGUCUAACACCAUCAUCUCAACCAUACAUCUCUCCAUCCAAUGACUAAAAACUCAAAAGUACCACCUUCAUGGUGCAUUGAAAGUAUUUUAGUAUAUAUAUAUAUAUAUAUAGUGUUGAGCUAGAAUACUAUCGAUAGCAAAUGGGCUCCCUUGCCACCCAUUUGUUUUCGAUGAUGGAGCCUCCAAAUCGACGAUCGGUACCGUUGAACAUGAUCUAUACCAGUUGAAGUGUUUAGAAAUCAAAUUUCAAAUCUUUUCGAUAUCAUUUUCCUAAUGAUCAAAGGGUUUCAAAAUUUGUAAUUUUAAUGGUCGAUAUAAGACGUUUCUUGUUUAAUGGCGUAAAGAUAUUUAUAUCAAUUGAAUUUUUGUUAGAAAAUUCUUUAAACUAUUUAAAACAAAAUCUAUACUCUUGAUCUUGAUUACAAGACUCCUAUCAUCAUUUUUUAAAGAAUAUUUAUUUUUCGCCGUUCAUUUUUGUGUCCACUCGAUGGAUAAGAGAACAAUAUCAAAAAUGUAUGAAAUUUGAUUUCUAAACACUUCAAGUGGUAUAGAUCAUGUUCAACGGUGCCGAUCGUCGAUUUGGAGGCUCAUCAUCGA
rnacentral:lncRNA from 1 species